AGGAUGAACGCUGGCGGCGUGCCUAAUACAUGCAAGUCGAACGAGAAAGGGGAGCAAUCCCCGAGUAAAGUGGCAAACGGGUGAGUAACACGUGGGUAACCUACCCUUGAGUGGGGAAUAACAUCUCGAAAGAGGUGCUAAUACCGCAUAACAUCGAGAGGGCUCUGGCCUUUUUCGAUCAACGGCUGGGAUCUUCGGACCAGCCGCUCGAGGAUGGGCCCGCGGCUGAUUAGCUAGUUGGUGGGGUAAUGGCCUACCAAGGCGACGAUCAGUA
rnacentral:rRNA from 1 species